rnacentral:rRNA from 1 species
AGGACGAACGCUGGCGGCGUGCUUAACACAUGCAAGUCGAACGGUAAGGCCUUUCGGGGUACACGAGUGGCGAACGGGUGAGUAACACGUGGGUGAUCUGCCCUGCACUUCGGGAUAAGCCUGGGAAACUGGGUCUAAUACCGGAUAUGAUCACGUCCUUCAUGGGGUGUGGUGGAAAGCUUUUGCGGUGUGGGAUGGGCCCGCGGCCUAUCAGCUUGUUGGUGGGGUAAUGGCCUACCAAGGCGACGACGGGUAGCCGGCCUGAGAGGGUGACCGGCCACACUGGGACUGAGAUACGGCCCAGACUCCUACGGGAGGCAGCAGUGGGGAAUAUUGCACAAUGGGCGCAAGCCUGAUGCAGCGACGCCGCGUGAGGGAUGACGGCCUUCGGGUUGUAAAGCUCUUUACCGGGAUGAUAAUGACAGUACCGGAGAAUAAGCUCCGGCUAACUCCGUGCCAGCAGCCGAC